GUAGGAUAAGAACAACAUAAGCUUUCUUCAAUUCUAUAUUGAAAAGCACAUAACAAUUUAUCAACAACAAAAGGAUGAACAAGCUUUCAUUUCAAAAGGCUACUUGAGUAAGAAACAAGUAAAACAAUUCCACUCAAAAAUUCUUAAUCCACUUCCUCAAUUUUUGGACCUGCACCACCACCAACAGAAGGACCAUCAUCUUCAUCCAUAGUAGCUCCACCAGCACCACCUUGAUACAUCUUGGCAAUGAUCGGAUUGCAUACGCUUUCCAGUUCCUUCAUCUUGUCUUCGAACUCAUCCGCCUCUGCAAGUUGGUUGCUGUCU
rnacentral:misc_RNA from 1 species